GUAACGGCGAGUGAAGCGGCAACAGCUCAAAUUUGAAAUCUGGCCCCCAGGGCCCGAGUUGUAAUUUGCAGAGGAUGCUUUUGGCGCGGUGCCUUCCGAGUUCCCUGGAACGGGACGCCAUAGAGGGUGAGAGCCCCGUCUGGUCGGACACCAAGCCAGUGUAAAGCUCCUUCGACGAGUCGAGUAGUUUGGGAAUGCUGCUCUAAAUGGGAGGUAUAUGUCUUCUAAAGCUAAAUACCGGCCAGAGACCGAUAGCGCACAAGUAGAGUGAUCGAAAGAUGAAAAGCACUUUGAAAAGAGGGUUAAACAGUACGUGAAAUUGUUGAAAGGGAAGCGUUUGUGACCAGACUUGGGCCCGGUGAAUCAUCCAGCGUUCUCGCUGGUGCACUUCGCCGGGCCCAGGCCAGCAUCAGUUCGCCGCGGGGGAUAAAAGCUUCGGGAACGUGGCUCCCUCGGGAGUGUUAUAGCCCGUUGCAUAAUACCCUGCGGCGGACUGAGGUUCGCGCUCCGCAAGGAUGCUGGCGUAAUGGUCAUCAGCGACCCGUCUUGAAACACGGACCAAGGAGUCGUCUUCGUAUGCGAGUGUUCGGGUGUCAAACCCCUACGCGUAAUGAAAGUGAACGCAGGUGAGAGCUUCGGCGCAUCAUCGACCGAUCCUGAUGUUCUCGGAUGGAUUUGAGUAAGAGCAUACGGGGCCGGACCCGAAAGAAGGUGAACUAUGCCUGUAUAGGGUGAAGCCAGAGGAAACUCUGGUGGAGGCUCGCAGCGGUUCUGACGUGCAAAUCGAUCGUCAAAUAUGGGCAUG
rnacentral:rRNA from 1 species